AGCUCUGAUGGUCCAGUGGUAGAGCAUCUAUUUCCAUUGCGGGUGGUUGUGGGUUCAAACCCCAGUCGAGUCC